rnacentral:rRNA from 1 species
UGCCAGCCGCCGCGGUAAUACGAAGGGGGCUAGCGUUGUUCGGAAUCACUGGGCGUAAAGCGUAUGUAGGCGGAUCAAAAAGUUAGAUGUGAAAUCCCUGGGCUCAACCCAGGAACUGCAUUUAAAACUAGUGAUCUAGAAUUUGGUAGGGGUUAGUAGAAUUUCCAGUGUAGAGGUGAAAUUCGUAGAUAUUGGAAAGAAUACCAGUGGCGAAGGCGACUAACUGGAUCGAUACUGACGCUGAGGUGCGAAAGCGUGGGGAGCAAACAGGAUUAGAUA